UUCGCAAUGCCCGAAAGGGUGACGAAGCGACGCCGCGUGUGGGAUGAAGGCCUUCGGGUUGUAAACCACUGUCGGGAGUUAAGAAUUGUAGGAAUGCUAAUAGUAUUUCUACUUGACUAAGGCUCCGGAGGAAGCCACGGCUAACUCUGUGCCAGCAGCCGCGGUAAUACAGAGGCGGCAAGCGUUGUUCGGAAUUAUUGGGCGUAAAGAGCAUGUAGGCGGCUAUGUAAGUCGGUUGUGAAAGCCUUCCGCUUAACGGAAGAAUGGCGGUCGAAACUGCAUGGCUUGAGUGCGGGAGGGGAGAGUGGAACUUCUGGUGGAGCGGUGAAAUGCGUAGAUAUCAGAAGGAACGUCGGCGGCGAAAGCGACUCUCUAGACCGUAACUGACGCUGAGUGUGCGAAAGCUAGGGGAGCAAACGGGAUUAGAUACCCCGAUAGUCCUAGCCGUAAACGAUGGGCACUAAGUAGAGGGGUUUU
rnacentral:rRNA from 1 species